GUCACUUUGUCCGAGUGGUUAAGGAGGCAGACUUGAAAUCUGCUGCGGAAACGCGCACAGGUUCAAAUCCUGUAGGUGACG
rnacentral:tRNA from 1 species